AGGAUUAACGCUGGCGGCGUGCAUGAAACAUGCAAGUCGAGCGCGGUGUGAUGCGGGGUAACCCAAUUCACAUCUAGCGGCGAACGGGUGAGUAACACGUGAGCAACCUACCUUUGAGUUGGGGAUAGCCCUGGGAAACCAGGAUUAAUACCCGAUGUGGUCACAACAGGACAUCCUGAUGUGAGUAAAGGCGCAAGCCGCUCAAUGACGGGCUCGCGGCCUAUUAGCUUGUUGGUGGGGUAACGGCCUACCAAGGCGAUGAUGGGUAGCUGGUCUGAGAGGACGAUCAGCCACACUGGGACUGAGACACGGCCCAGACUCCUACGGGAGGCAGCAGUUAGGAAUUUUCCGCAAUGGGCGAAAGCCUGACGGAGCAACGCCGCGUGAGUGAUGAAGACCUUAGGGUUGUAAAGCUCUGUCGGAGGGAAGAACACAAUGACGGUACCCUCCAAGAAACGCCCGGACUAACUACGUGCCAGCAGCCGCGGU
rnacentral:rRNA from 1 species